AUUGAACGCUGGCGGCAGGCUUAACACAUGCAAGUCGAGCGGGGUGAUGGUGCUUGCACUAUCACUUAGCGGCGGACGGGUGAGUAAUGCUUAGGAAUCUGCCUAUUAGUGGGGGACAACAUCUCGAAAGGGAUGCUAAUACCGCAUACGUCCUACGGGAGAAAGCAGGGGAUCACUUGUGACCUUGCGCUAAUAGAUGAGCCUAAGUCGGAUUAGCUAGUUGGUGGGGUGGAGGCCUACCAAGGCGACGAUCUGUAGCGGGUCUGAGAGGAUGAUCCGCCACACUGGGACUGAGACACGGCCCAGACUCCUACGGGAGGCAGCAGUGGGGAAUAUUGGACAAUGGGGGGAACCCUGAUCUAGCCAUGCCGCGUGUGUGAAGAAGGCCUUAUGGUUGUAAAGCACUUUAAGCGAGGAGGAGGCUUACCUAGUUAAUACCUGGGAUAAGUGGACGUUACUCGCAGAAUAAGCACCGGCUAACUCUGUGCCAGCAGCCGCCGUAA
rnacentral:rRNA from 1 species